AGUGCCAUCCGCCCAAAUCUACAGACAUCCCGCGUGUUCCCGGGCUGUCCGCUCGUCUCCCCUAUACAGGGCGCCAAGGCUGUAGACUGCGCAGCCCUUCUAGAGACAGACGGAAGCUCCGUGGGUUGACAGAUUACACCUUCUGGAGCCCCCUGUUCCCUUCAACUCCGUGAUGGGCAUCCACUGUCCAGGGAGAGGAUGCCUGGAAAUGACAGCCGGGGUCUACAGUGGCCAUAAGAGUUGUCCCCAUCUUGCUAGAUCGACAGACUGGUGCCCCCGAAUGAGGACUGUGCCCUGGGACAGGGGAUAUGGUAUAGUUGGAAGUUUGUGAAGCCGCUUGGGAAGGGUUUUCUCUCCGCCCUGUGACAACAGGCAAGAGUGGGGGCCCAACAAUACAGAGUAAGUGAUGUGUCACUUCUACUCUUCCAUGCCCAGUGCCAGGAGAGACGGUACACUCGAGUGCUGUGCCCUGGUGGGCCUUUGAACAGCCAGUGGCAGGUGCAGUGGAUCAUCAGCCCUGUCUCCCAAGAGCC
rnacentral:lncRNA from 1 species